rnacentral:rRNA from 1 species
CCUACGGGUGGCAGCAGUCGAGAAUUAUUCACAAUGGGGGAAACCCUGAUGGUGCGACGCCGCGUGGGGGAAUGAAGGUCUUCGGAUUGUAAACCCCUGUCAUGUGGGAGCAAAUUAAAAAGAUAGUACCCCAAGAGGAAGAGACGGCUAACUCUGUGCCAGCAGCCGCGGUAAUACAGAGGUCUCAAGCGUUGUUCGGAAUCACGGGGCGUAAAGCGUGCGUAGGCUGUUUCGUAAGUCGUGUGUGAAAGGCGCGGGCCCAACCCGCGGACGGCACAUGAUACUGCGAGACUAGAGUAAUGGAGGGGGAACCGGAAUUCUCGGUGUAGCAGUGAAAUGCGUAGAUAUCGAGAGGAACACUCGUGGCGAAGGCGGGUUCCUGGACAUUAACUGACGCUGAGGCACGAAGGCCAGGGGAGCGAAAGGGAUUAGAUACCCGAGUAGUC